GCGUGAGCGAUGAAGGCCCUAGGGUUGUAAAGCUCUUUCACCCGUGAAGAUAAUGACGGUAGCGGGAGAAGAAGCCCCGGCUAACUCCGUGCCAGCAGCCGCGGUAAUACGGAGGGGGCUAGCGUUGUUCGGAAUUACUGGGCGUAAAGCGCGCGUAGGCGGAUGUUCAAGUCGGGGGUGAAAUCCCGGGGCUCAACCCCGGAACUGCCUCCGAUACUGGAUGUCUAGAGGACGGGAGAGGCGAGUGGAAUGCCGAGUGUAGAGGUGAAAUUCGU
rnacentral:rRNA from 1 species